UACGGGGGGGGCAAGCGUUGUUCGGAAUUACUGGGCGUAAAGGGCGCGUAGGCGGCCUGCUAAGUCGGAUGUGAAAUCCCUCGGCUCAACCGAGGAACUGCAUCCGAUACUGGCGGGCUUGAAUCCGGGAGAGGGAUGUGGAAUUCCAGGUGUAGCGGUGAAAUGCGUAGAUAUCUGGAGGAACACCGGUGGCGAAGGCGGGAUCCUGGGCCAGUACUGACGCUGAGGAGCGAAAGCGUGGGGAGCAAACAGG
rnacentral:rRNA from 1 species